GCCCUUGUAGCUCAGACGGACAGAGCAGGGGAUUUCUAAUCCCAAGGUCACAGGUUCGAAUCCUGUCGAGGGCG
rnacentral:tRNA from 1 species